GCACAUGCUCAGUCGGUAGACCACGAGACUCUUAAUCUCAAGGUUGUGGGUUCAAGCCCCACGUUGGGCC
rnacentral:tRNA from 1 species